UCCUCUGAAGAUGAUCAAAAAUAUAACUUUCGUCUUCUGAGAUUAACCAUGCGGAAAGUUAUGGAGACCUGAACUGAAGAGAC
rnacentral:snoRNA from 1 species